ensembl:lncRNA
GGAGGAUCUACACUUUCCUCCUGGCAAGACGAAUGCACAGAUACCAGAGCACGAAAACAAACUUUGUUGAGACAAGACCAGGAUUACAGGACAUAUUUCAGUCGCAGUUAACUGAUGUGGAUCACAGACUUUUCCAGCUGUUUGCUGAAGUGUUUGAUCGCAGAGGGACGAGGAGACACGGACAAAUAAUAUAAAGUCAGGUGAAGUUUUUUAGUCCACAGAACAUUUCUGGAGCUUCACAGUAAAACAGAGUUGCAGCAUUUUGCUAAACAGCUGACGCAGCUGACACUUGAUUUAAAACAUGAAUGGCUCCUGACAGCUCUCCUGGUGUAAUGCAAGUUUUUGGAAGUGUUAGCCAUCUUUUUUUUUUCUGUUUUACUGUGAAGCUCCAGAAAUGUUUCUGGACUCUGAGACUUCACCUGACUUUAUAUCAUCAGGAGGAGGAGACGAGGACUGGAGUGACUUUUAUGGGGGAACUAAUGUCGUCUCCUUUAUUGUAAACUGUUUAAAUUGACAGACUGUGUUACUGACAUCCAGUAAACACAAAGUCCAGUCCUGCCUGUUUACAGUCGCUGCAGAUGAUCAAGGAGUGGCUCCUCCUUCAGACGGCACACUUGCAUAUUUGAGCUGCCUGCUUUCUGUUCACAGCGUCACAGGUGAAGGUGUGCAGUGGAGGAACAGCUGAGCUGUGAGACCAUUUGAUCUGGUAGGUGCUCUUUAAUUUACAAACAGUCACAUUUAUUGGGAUGGAGGGAAACAGGAAACACUGAUGAUACGAUCGAGACUUUUGUAAUAUUAUCUAAUACUUCCUCAUGAUGUUUUUCUAUAUUUGCAUUUCACAUGUUUUAAAAGAACACAGUCACACCCGCUCACCCUGCUGUGACUCUGAUCAUGACAACACAGCUACUGUAUCACAUUCUUUAUCUUUGUUUUUCAGUCCAGUCAUGUCCUCCACCAUCCUGCUGAUCGUCCUUCUGUCUGAAAUUGAUCUCCACCCAUGGGCAGAACAUUAAUGAUGACAGCACACAUUACAGGUCUGAUCUCAGAGCAGCUUCUCAGGGCAGCUGUUGGAGGAUCCGUCCUGAUCCCAUGUUCUCUUCCUGGUAAUCCACUGAGGUUUUACUGGCAGGAGGACCAGUCUCCUUACCUUUUGUGUCACUGGGACGGUGGGAAAACAUUGCCAGGAUGUGACAAAUACAAUGGCAGAUUCCAAGUCUUCACUUCUGAGUUUAGUUCUGGAAACAUUUCCAUCAGACUUGACAACAUUUCUCCUGAAGAUGAUAAGAAAACAUUCUUUGCCUACGUUAAAUUUGAUGAGCAGAUACAAUCUGAACGACGGUGUGAGUCCACGCUGCAGGUUUCAGCUCCCUACCAGGAUCUGGUCCUGACAGUUAACCACACAACCAACAGUGCAGCCUGCAGAGCACGAGGAGGAUACCCUGCAGCUCAGGUAUCAUGGAAGGGUCUGAACAGAUCCAGUGAUGAGGAGCAGGACCUGCAGGAUGCUGAGACGUCCCUGCAGCAGGAUCCAACAGAGAAAACCUUCUCCUUCACAAGCUCUGUCAACAUUACGGGGUUAAAGUCUGUAACCUGCAUCGUCUACAACCCUCACUCCCAUGAGACUGUUAAAAGAACUGUGGAGAUCGACACUGCUGCUGGUGAAAACAAGAAGAUUAACGUGGCUGCAAUAGCUGUACCUUUUGUCCUCGUCAUCCUUGUUGGUGCUGUGCUGUUCUAUCUGUGGUACAAAAGGCAACCUCAAGAUCCAGAUCUGCCCAACCAAUCACCAAUCGAACUUCAUCCCCAAGACAGAGCUCAAGCUGAAGAUCAAGAUCAAUCUCGGGCUCCAGAUCCACCCAGUGAACCACCAAUCGAAUAUGAUCCCCACGAUGGAGCUGAAGGUGAAGAUGCAGACGCAGCAGAAACUGCCCAAGACCCAGUUCAGGAGGAGGGUGAGCUGCAUUUAGUUGAUAACAGCGAGUUAGUUUGGAAAUACCAACUGAGAUCAUUCAAAGAUAAUAACUCAUAAAAACAACAAUAAUAAUAUCAGUUCAUGUCUCUCUUUCUCUUUCUAACCUCUCAGCAGCUGAUGCACCUGGUGAAACUGCUUCACUGACUGGGACUCCAGUUGGUAUUCGCCAUCGCACAAAGUUGAGCGAGGACGCUGCUGCUUCUCCAGAGAAAGAAAAUCUGUUGAAGUGAAAUGAAGACAGCGCCUCAGAUUGAGUCAGAAGUGUUUAUGAGAACCUGGAUCAGAACUGAGUCAGGGAGGCAACAACCUGAAGAACUACUGCACAUGGACUAAAAUGAUUUCAACGAAGAAGUUGAAAGUCAAGCAUAAAUGUGGGUAGGACAGACAGGAUGACAGACACGAUGACAACUCUUUUCUUCAAUGUUACCAAAGACACUUCCAGUUACCUCAGUACUGUUGUUUGGUCCUGUUACGUUGCUUUGUGGGUUGGAACAUUUCUCUUUUAUUUGAUGAGUGAAUGAACUAUUUAUCCGUCAGACUGAACACCAUCAGACAGACACACUGCGGUCCACACUGACGCCAAACUGUCCUACCUCUCUGCAUCUUUCACAUAGAUGGACAUGAUUCUCACCUUUAAAGCGCCUAGUGAACAGGUCUGUGGUGUGACGAUUUGUGUUGUUGUCUCAUAUUUAUUUUUUUUAUUUUUGAGUGUCCAGUGAGUGUUUCUGUAUCAUCUGUUUGUCUGAAUGUUGGGAUUUGUGUUCAGAGUGUUAGGAAUUUUCUGAUAAUUAACCCUCAGAAUCCCAAAUCCCGCCGGCGGGCCCGAAAUACCACUUAUUUUUAAAUGACAUGCAUUUACAAACCAUUUGUCCUAUCGAAAAACCAAAGAUUCUCAAGAUUCCGAGGGUACCUGAAUGUAUCACAAGCAACAAGUGCAACAUGUCUAAACAGGCUGGAGAAGACGGGAGAAUGUCAUGAAAUUUCAUCAACCUCGCUUUGAUUGCCAUGUCUUCUUUGAAAAUUUGCAGAAAAUCUAAAUUCUGUAAAAUACACAUAAUUCUACGCUUCUUACUGCUUUCUGGAAGCCCUGAAUGACGGACAUUCGCCGAGUAUACGCACUUCAAGAAUUCUUUGAAUUUUACAUCCCAUGGCAUUGUCUUGCAGGCUGCUCAGAGCCGCUCAGCACCAAUGAGCAGGCUCUAUACGUCUGCUCUCAGUGCCUUACAAAACUUGUUUCAGGUCAAAUUUAACAACUCUCUUGUCCUCUGUAAAAAAAACACAAAAAAAACUGCAUAGAGGUGCAGAAAUUUUGGUGUGGCAGCAACUGCUUUGCAGAUUGGCAUGAUGCCUCUGCAAUGUAGACUGUAAAUUGUGUAAAUAGUUGUGACAGUAUUAUUUGUAAAUAGUUUGUGAAGAGUAAAUGUGUAUUUGUUGCCUGUGAUAAUGUUUACAGUUCACCAAUUGUUUUUUUUAUCUGAAGACUUACAUAGUUCUUCACAUUUCUUCAUUUGUUUUAUAAAAUACAUAUUUAGAAAAUGUCAAUGUUCCUUUUUCUUGAUUGAAUGAUUUAUUGCAUUCUGAUGAUGUUAUACUGCUCAGGAGAUAUUGAUGAGUUACAUCUGACUUUUGCCAUGGUUGUCCUGAACCCAUAGAGGUGCAGGACUUCAUAUUUUACUGAAGAGACCACAGUGAGUAAAAAUGUGACAGAAGCAAAAAUGGCCAGAAACUGCUUGGGAUUCUUAGAGUUAUACAAUGGUACUUGAAAAAGUAUUUGAUUACCUGUGUUGUCUUGUAUUUCACUAUAAAACUAAGUACAGAAAUGGUCAGAAGAAGUUGUACCUGAACCAAAAUUGAGCAUAAAAACAGAAUAAUUAAGAAUAAACCAAAUGCUUCCACUCAAAUGGAGAGAAGGAAAAGUGUGACCUGUGUGAUCUGAGUUAAAGUCCAAUAUGUGAUUCUCACAGAGUCAUAUGUUGCACAGUGACAAAUCCUCUAAGAAGGCAGAGAGAGCAUGGUGUGGUGAAAACCAAACAUCAGCCUGGUUUCACACCAUCUGGUCUGCAGAUAAACCAGCUGACUGAUGUUUGUUUGGGAGCAGUAAAGUUCAGACAAGUUUAGAAAGACGGGGAGAGUUGUUGGAAACUGAAAAAAACAACAACUCACCAGUGCAUUUUUAUUCAACAUUUGAAUGCACCGUUUCAUCAAGGCACUGAUUGUGUGUUUGAACACAACAGAAACAAACUGUAGUCUGUUGCAGUCGGUGGUGUUUGUACUAAAAACAAUUCUUAUUUUUUCCUCUUCACAUUUAAAGCCUCAUGCAGCAGCUCUGUAACACACUGUUGGUGAUGAACACUUCAUCUGAUGGAGGAUCUACACUUCUCUCUGCAAGACGAAUGCUCAGAUACCAGAGCACGAAAACAAACUUUGUUGAGACAAGACCAAGAUUACAGGACAUAUUUCAGUCACAGUUAACUGAUGUGGAUCGCUGACUUUUACAGCUGUUUGCUGAAGUGUUUGAUCGCAGAGGGACGAGGAGACACGGACAAAUAAUAUAAAGUCAGGUGAAGUUUUUUUAUUCCACAGAACAUUUCUGGAGCUUCACAGUAAAACAGAGUUGCAGCAUUCUGCUAAACAACUGAAGCAGCUGAGACUAUCUAUCUUUUUGUUUGAUUUAUUUUAUUGUGGUUGUUUGUGGUUGUAUUGUUUAUUUUGUGUUGUAUAAUAUAAUUUUUAAAAAAAAAGAAAACAUUCUUCGCCUUCGUAAAUUUUUAUGAUGAGCAGAAAAAAAUCGCCAAACCGUUUGAACAACGGUGCAGAUCCACGCUGCAGGUUUCAGGUAAUCUGAGAAGCUUCUUUACACCAAACCUCAAUAAAUCUCUCCUCAUAUCAAAGUGCUGUACAUGUCUCAGUUGUUCUUUCUGUCACACUCACAGCUCCCUACCAGCAUCUGGUCCUGACGGUUAACCACACAACCAACACUGCAACCUGCUCAGCACGAGGAGGUUACCCUGCAGCUCAGGUAUCAUGGAAGGGUCUGAACAGAUCCAGUGAUGAACAGCAGGACCUGCAGGAUGCUGAGACGUCCCUGCAGCAGGAUCCAACAGAGAAAACCUUCUCCUUCACAAGCUCUGUCAACGUUACAGGGUUAAAGUCUGUAACCUGCAUCGUCUACAACCCUCACUCCAACAAGACCAGAACCAGAACCAUGGAGACUGACAUUGGUGAGAGAGCAUUCAGAUCAAUUCAUGUGGCCUGGAAGCAUCUUCAAGGAUGCUUUUUAGCUAAUAACUAUAAGGAAAAAUGAUAAAUGUAUGGAAUAAAUCAGUGACUGAAGAAUUGAGCACCUGAAUUAUUGUGGUGUUACAGUACCAAUGUGUUGCCUUUUUAUUUCCCCUGAUUUUAUAGGUGAGGCGCAGCAAAGGAGUCUUUGGGCCGCUAUAGUUGGACUGCUUCUUGCCCUCAUUCUAUCAGCUGCUUGUGUAGCAUGUGAGUGAUCUUUUUUAUUCUCUAUUGCAAUUAUUAUUUUAUGUAUCAUUAACUUGU